UCGUAACACAAAUCGGUGCUAAAGGGUCCUGCCCAAUGGCUACUGAACAGGUGCUGUCGGGGCAGGGACUCUUUAGCACCGGUUCGUGUUACCAA
rfam:Sorghum bicolor cultivar BTx623 chromosome 9, whole genome shotgun sequence.